CCUACGGGAGGCAGCAGUAGGGAAUCUUCCACAAUGGACGAAAGUCUGAUGGAGCAACGCCGCGUGAGUGAAGAAGGGUUUCGGCUCGUAAAGCUCUGUUGGUAGUGAAGAAAGAUAGUGGUAGUAACUGGCCUUUAUUUGACGGUAAUUACUUAGAAAGUCACGGCUAACUACGUGCCAGCAGCCGCGGUAAUACGUAGGUGGCAAGCGUUGUCCGGAUUUAUUGGGCGUAAAGCGAGUGCAGGCGGUUCAAUAAGUCUGAUGUGAAAGCCUUCGGCUCAACCGGAGAAUUGCAUCAGAAACUGUUGGACUUGAGUGCAGAAGAGGAGAGUGGAACUCCAUGUGUAGCGGUGGAAUGCGUAGAUAUAUGGAAGAACACCGGUGGCGAAGGCAGCUCUCUGGUCUGCAACUGACGCUGAGGCUCGAAAGCAUGGGUAGCGAACAGGAUUAGAUACCCUAGUAGUC
rnacentral:rRNA from 1 species